rnacentral:rRNA from 1 species
UGACCUCGGAUCAGGUAGGGAUACCCGCUGAACUUAAGCAUAUCAAUAAGCGGAGGAAAAGAAACCAACAGGGAUUGCCUCAGUAACGGCGAGUGAAGCGGCAAGAGCUCAAAUUUGAAAUCUGGCCCCUUCGGGGUCCGAGUUGUAAUUUGUAGAGGAUGCUUCGGGUGCGGCCCCCGUCUAAGUGCUCUGGAACGGGCCAUCGGAGAGGGUGAGAAUCCCGUCUGGGACGGGGUGUCCGCGUCCAUGUGAAGCUCCUUCGACGAGUCGAGUUGUUUGGGAAUGCAGCUCUAAAUGGGUGGUAAAUUUCAUCUAAAGCUAAAUACUGGCCGGAGACCGAUAGCGCACAAGUAGAGUGAUCGAAAGAUGAAAAGCACUUUGAAAAGAGAGUUAAACAGCACGUGAAAUUGUUGAAAGGGAAGCGCUUGCGACCAGACUCGCUUCCGGGGUUCAGCCGGCUUUCGGGCCGGUGUACUUCCCCGGGGGCGGGCCAGCGUCGGUUUGGGCGGCCGGUCAAAGGCCCCUGGAAUGUAACGCCCCUCGGGGCGCCUUAUAGCCAGGGGUGUCAUGCGGCCAGCCUGGACCGAGGAACGCGC